GCAGAAGUGGCGGAACUGGCAGACGCGCUGGACUCAAAAUCCAGUGGGCUUAAAAACCCGUGCGGGUUCGACUCCCGCCUUCUGCACAA
rnacentral:tRNA from 1 species